rnacentral:rRNA from 1 species
UAAGCGGAGGAAAAGAAACCAACAGGGAUUGCCUCAGUAACGGCGAGUGAAGCGGCAAGAGCUCAACUUUGGAAUCGCUCCGGCGAGUUGUAGUCUGGAGGUGGCCACCACGAGGUGUUCUAGCAGCAGGCAAGUCCUUUGGAACAAGGCGCCAGCGAGGGUGACAGCCCCGUACCUGCUUUUGCUAGUGCUUCCUGUGGCCCACCGACGAGUCGAGUUGUUUGGGAAUGCAGCUCUAAGUGGGUGGUAAAUUCCAUCUAAGGCUAAAUAUUGGCGAGAGACCGAUAGCGAACAAGUACAGUGAUGGAAAGAUGAAAAGCACUUUGAAAAGAGAGUGAAACAGUACGUGAAAUUGUUGAAAGGGAAGGGCUUGCACCCAGACACGGUUUCGGCCGGGCCAGCAUCAAGUAGAACGGGGUUAAAAGACUUGGGGAAUGUAGCUACUUCGGUAGUGUUAUAGCCCUUGGUGAUGACCCCUGUUUUGCUUGAGGACAGCGGUCUCUAGGAUGCUGGCGCAAUGGUUGCAAGCCACCCGUCUUG